UGGGGAAUUUUGGACAAUGGGCGAAAGCCUGAUCCAGCAAUGCCGCGUGUGUGAAGAAGGCCUUCGGGUUGUAAAGCACUUUUGUCCGGAAAGAAAUCCUUGGCUCUAAUACAGUCGGGGGAUGACGGUACCGGAAGAAUAAGCACCGGCUAACUACGUGCCAGCAGCCGCGGUAAUACGUAGGGUGCAAGCGUUAAUCGGAAUUACUGGGCGUAAAGCGUGCGCAGGCGGUUUGCUAAGACCGAUGUGAAAUCCCCGGGCUCAACCUGGGAACUGCAUUGGUGACUGGCAGGCUAGAGUAUGGCAGAGGGGGGUAGAAUUCCACGUGUAGCAGUGAAAUGCGUAGAGAUGUGGAGGAAUACCGAUGGCGAAGGCAGCCCCCUGGGCCAAUACUGACGCUCAUGCACGAAAGCGUGGGGAGCAAAACAGGAUUAGAUACCCUGGUAGUCCACGCCCUAAAACGAUGUCAACUAGUUGUUGGGGAUUCAUUUCCUUAGUAACGUAGCUAACGCGUGAAGUUGACCGCCUGGGGAGUACGUCGCAAGAUUAAAACUCAAA
rnacentral:rRNA from 1 species